ACGCCAUGACCGCCCCCCAAUCGUGCCCCACCAGGAACACGCGCUCGACGCCGAGCGCGUCGAGGAGCCCGACCAGGUCGCCCACGAUGUGGAACGCCGUGUACGACGCCGCGGAGGGGGGCGCGUCGGUGUCGCCGUAGCCGCGGAGGUCGGGGGCGACGGCCCGGUACCCGAGGGCGGCGAGGGACAGCAUCUGGCGGCGCCAGGUGUACCAGAGGUCGGGGAAGCCGUGGAGGAAGAGGACCGUGUCGCCGCCGGCGCCGCCGACCGACGCGACGUGCAUGUUGAUGCCGUUGGUGGGGACCGUCGCGUGCUCUAUAGUCUCCAUCCCUCGUAAGUCCAGGCGGUGCUCUUGCGUCCUUCUCUCCGCUUCGAGCGAGCUUGGGUUCGAGCCAGAAAAUGGAGGUCGUCGUCGGAUUAGUCGAUCUAUCGAACCAAAUUUCAAGUCUUCGUCAGGAAGAAGACGAAGAAGACGACGAACCAAGAAAGUUGACGUUCCGUUUGUCUUGUCCCGUUCCUGGAAAGGAGCGAUCUCGUAAGCCGAGGAGUCCACGUUUCAAGGGAUUGAAUUUCUGGAAAGCCGCCAAGGAAAUAGAACUUUUCUCAUGAUUAAAGUUAGGCAAUAAUAAAAACAGUGUGAAGUUAAAAAACGAAAAAAAUGUUUGAUUAUCCCUCGUCGAUAGGAAAAGUUCUGUCCAGGGGGGCGCCCCCUCAAAGGAAGUCUACUUCUCUCUCUCUGGUUUUUCUUCUUCUUUUUUUUGGGAGGGUUGGGGUGGUGGUUUUUUUUUCUUUUUUUUUGGGGGUCAGAGGGGGUUGCUUGAAACGUAGAAGGAAAGUAGGAGGGUUGACUAAAGCAAGGAAAAAAAAAGGGAGGAAAAUUUAUUUCUAGAAUGGAAAAAAUUAGAAAGAAAUUAACUGCUAUGCUGAGUAUACAGAAUUAUGGACAAGAAAGAUCCCUCCAGCCUCUAAUUAGGAGAAUUUUAUCCAUUUUUAGUUGCUUUGUAAAUCAUACGAGUAAUUGCAACUCAUUAAUUACUAUCAACUCGAUAAAAUGAUAUUUCUUAAUCGAAUAAAUUAUAUCAUGUUAUAUGUGUUUUACGUAACAUGUUAAUAUGAUCUUGUUAACUAUAACUAAAAUUGUUUAAAUGCUACCUAAAGAAUAGAGAUUGGCGUGCUUCAAAGAAUUAUUUGAUGUAAAUUGGAUGGUACCAACCACAUACAAAGAGGCUAAUCAAUUUUUUAUUGUUAGUUGGGUUGAACACCUUACAACCAUAGUUAUUAGAAUUAAUCGAUUCUUGACUCGGCAUGCUUCCAUAGCCUGAUGUCCCUCUUAGUUGACAUGGCAUGCUUUCGUAGCCUAGUGUCCCUUUAUAUUGAUCUGCUCUUAGUUGACACGGCAUGCUUUCGUAACCUGUAUCCCUUUAUAUUGAUCUGGUGUGUUUUCAUAACCCAACAUCCCUUUCAUCGACUCGGCGUGCUUCCAUAACCAGACGUCUCUCUUAAUUAACACAACCUGCUUCCGUAGCCUAGUGUUUAUUUAUAUUGGGCAUGCUUCCAUAACCUGAUGUCUCUCUUAAUUAACACAUCCUGCUUCCGUAGCCUGGUGUUUAUUUAUAUUGGGCGUGCUUCCAUAACCUGAUGUCUCUCUUAAUUAACACAGCGUGCUUCCUUCCGUAGCCUGGUGUUUAUUUAUAUUGGGCGUGCUUCCAUAACCUGAUGUCUCUCUUAAUUAACACAGCGUGCUUCCAUAAGCUGAUGUCUCUCUUAAUUAACACAACGUGCUUCCGUAGCUUGGUGCUUAUUUAUAUUGGGCAUGCUUCCAUAACCUGAUGUUUCUCUUACUUAACAUAGCAUGCUUCCGUAACCUGGUGUUUAUUUAUAUUGGCCUGGCAUGCUUUCAUAACCCAUAGUCCAUUUUUAUUGAUCCGGCGUGCUUCCAUAACUCGAAAUUCCUUAAUAUGACCUGGCGUGUUUUUGUAGCCCAAAGUCAUUUUCAUUGACUUGACGUGCUUUCAUAGCCCAAUGUCUCUCUUAAUUGACAUGGCAUACUCUUGUAGCGUGUACUUUUGUAGCCUGGAGACCUUUUUAUCGACAUGGCGUGCUUCUGUAACUCAAAGUCCCUUUAUCAAAUCGACGUGCUUAGGAGGUCUCAAGUGCAUUGACACUUGACUCGGUCAAGCUGUUCUCCAAAGAUUUUUCUCCAGAUUCAAUCUGAUUAAGGCGUCUGAAGAAAAGUUCGAGUCAUGGUCAGAUGGUCUAUGUCGCAAUACUAGGCGAUCGUAGAAUGGUACGGUAUCUAGAAAAGCAAUUUCUCAUUUAAGCGAUCAUAGAAAUGUACGGGUCAUGAGAAAACAAUUUUUUCUGUCAAAGCAACCGAAGAAAGAUUCGGGUCAUAGACAACCAAAUAUUGUCAUACUGGACAACCGCAGAAAAGUACAAGUCCUAGAAAAACACGAGUCCUAAAAAAACAGUCUCCUUACAAAGCCUUGUUACUAUUCUGGGCGACCGUAAAAAGGUACGGGUCCUGGAUAUGUAACACCAACUAUCUUAAAUUACUCUACCUUCAAUAUAUUCUACCCUCCUUGAAAGUAAGUUAUAAUAAAGGUAAGUUAUUCCAGGUAAGUUCCUUUAUUGUCUGUAUUAGCAUUUUCAUGUAUCAUAUAAAUUGCAUUUCAAAAUGGAAUUCAUUUUCCAACAAAAAAAAAAUCAUUCAGUGCGCGCAUGAUUAAAAUUUAGAUCUCAAUUUAUUCAUUGAAGGCAACCUCUACAAAUUCACCUUUAAAGUGGGGCAACUAUUGACAAAUAAAUUUUGGCAACCCAGUUAUUUAUUUAUUGCAUAAAAAUUAAGAAUUAAUUUUUAACCCCUGAAAAAAUGAUUAAUUGUAUAAUAUAAUUUUAGAUGCAUUUAUUUAUUAUUAUUGCAUUUGCAUUGGACCCGUGAUGGAUGUGCUUGAUUUGAUGGUUCUGAAUUUUAAAUUGACAAGUUGGAUUAAGCUACGAAAAAAGUAAAUUGGCCCAAACCCGAAUAUAUCUUUGUAAAAUUUGAAAUUUGAGAAAAAUCCUAUUACAAUUUUGAAUCUUUAGUAAUAUAUGAUAAAAUCGAUGGAGAAUAUUAAUUUUUGCAAAGGAAAUCUAGAAAAGAUGUGGAAAAAAAAUUGUUUUUGGAAAAAAAUCUUUGUGGACGUUGAUUUGAGGAAGAAAUUAAAGCCCUAGCCCUUAACGUAUAAAAGGUUGCUUGCGUACGGAGAAGGGGGCUUUUCUAUUGGUUUCUAAGUCAAAAAUUCAAGAUAAAAGAGAAAAAUUUAUUUCUUCCCUUUUUUAGGGUUUUUGGGGGGGGGCUUUUCCCUCGGUUUUCGUUUUCUAUGAGUGAAAAGUCAACAAAGAAAAAUGAAACCACUGGGAUUCGCUUCAUGACCACUCUUCCAACAUGGAAGGGGGAGGUGAGGGGUUCAAAUCCUCACAUUUUUAGGGAGAUGGGAUGGGGACGCGUAAGUUUCAGGAGUGGGUUUCGACUUCCACGUCCUGCAAGAGACAUGGCAAAAGUCUAAGAGUAAGUGUAUAGAGUAAGAUUGAUCAAAAUAAAAAAACAAAAAAAAAACAAAGAAAAGUGAAGGAGGGUAAGAGAGGGGACGUGAGCAGGGACCAGAAGGAAGUACAGCAGAGAGAGAGAGAGAGAGAGAGAGAGAAGUGACGUGUAGCAGAGAAGAAAAAGAAAAGAAGAAGAAAGCGGAGGAGCACUGUUCUUCUUCACGGGCUCCCUCCGUCAACUACAGCCGCCGACUGCUGCGCCCGUGCCGCUGCGGCCGCACCACUGCCACUUCGCCUCCACCGCGCCCCUCCUCGCCUGGAGCCCGUGCUGGCCCGUGACCCACCUGCUCGCGACUCCGUCUUCCUUGUCGCGGCCCACCAUCUCUGCACGCCGGUCUGAGUCACUCCCCUCCGAGCGGCGCCGCUGCAGCCCGACGCCAGAAGCAGCCCCUUGCUCCGUCGCGCCUCAAUCUUUGUUCUGCCGUGCCUCCACCGCUACCGCACCCCUGCUGCAGCAACCGCCGAGACGCCUGCAGCCCGGAGCACCAGCAGCGCCUUCGCCCGAGCACCAGCACUCGAGCCUUCGCCGUGCUGACACCAGCAGCCUACUCCGCGCCUCUGUCAAUCACCGCCUCCGCGCGCCUGCCCUGCCGCGUCUCCGCCCCUGCAAGAUCCCGCGAGCACCGCCUUCGCUGUUGCUGCCGCACCUCCUUCUGCCCGACGCCACUGCUCGCCGUCGCAGCAACUGCUCGAGCCCGCCUAGCUCCGCCAGCAGCCGCCCCCUUCCGAGCGACGCCACCACAGCAGCUUGCUGAACGCCGCCACUUGCUGUCAUGACCUCCUCCGCUCGCCUCCGGUCCCCUCACCGGAGCCCCGAUCGAUGGUGGCCUAUCACCCUUGGCUGUCCAUCAUCAUGCCACCCGUCCUUGAGCCAUGCCGAGCUUCCAUCGUGACCCACACAAGGCGUCAUUCGUUAAGCCAGAUUUGGAAACAAAAAUUCAAAAUUAGGUAGCUUUUUUUUAAAAAUAUUUUGUUUCUUCAUUUGAAAUGUUUGCUGAUGCAUGAUUGAAAUCCCAACAUAUUACCUAAUUCGCAACCGCACGCAAAUUUUUUACUCCAUCCAUAAGGGUUUAAAUCACGUUGGAAUAUUUAAUUGAUAUAUUGAUAUUUAAAGCAUAAGAUCAAUUUAUCGAUUUUAUUAGCAAAAUAAUAAGAUUUGAUUAGAUAUCAUUUCCGAAUUCGAACAAUAGAUAAUGUCUUUGAUAAUCGUGAAUGAUUUACUGCUUAUCUUUUAAUUGCUUUAUUUAAGGAUUGCAUUUGCAUAUCAUGUAGAUUAUAAUUGAUUUCCUAGAUAGAAUUACAUGAUAAAAUAGUUAGAUUUUUUUCUAAUUAUAUUAAAAUGCAUGUUUAGGUAGUAUCUAGGUUAGAUAAUAUCUUUGAAUUAAAUUGCAUGUCGAAAUAAAUUUCUAAGUUAAGAUAGGAUUCAAAUUGGUUUAUUUCCUAACUUAAAAUAGAUAAUAUCUCACUUUAAUUAGAUUUCUAUUUUUUAGUUACGAAUUUUUAUAAAAAAAAUGCAAAAAAUCAUGCGCAUGUCAUGUAGAAUUAUGUUUAUAAAAUGCAUGUCAUUUAGUGAUUAUUGCUAGAUCCAUUUAAUUAGAAUUUGUCCGUAAUUAGAAUUAGGUCAUUUGAUUAAAUUGCAUUGUAUAUAGAUUAGAAUUUAUUAAACAAAGGAAAAUCCUAAAAAUUUGGAGUGAUUGCAUGUUAAUUAGAAAUCAUAUGUAGGGUUGUUGAUAUGAGUUAUGAUAUAACAUUGCAGACGCUUUCAUUGUUAUGAUGUAAGUUUUGUAAUUUAUUCAUUAUUUUAUUUGGGCGUUAAAUUGGUGGUGUGUGCACCCGCAUGAUCACCUCGUUAGUGAAGUAAAUUAAAAUUAAUUAAAACUACCUACAAAACAUUUUUCAAAAUAAAAGAAAAAUAGAGAAAUGUACCGAAAUAGCAUUAGAGAAAUUUAGCGUAAUCAAAUUCCCGAACUCAUAAUCUCUGGUUCGCAGCAGUAAAAUAAAUCUCUCAUUAUUUUACUUAGGUAUCUAAUCGACUUACCGUAAACUGAUUAAUUGCGACUUAUAGCUAAUAAUUUUUUGCAUGCUAAAUAUUUGAACAUAAAUCGCAAAUUGGUAUAAGCUUGGGAGAGCCCAAACUAAGUUUAGACUUAGUAAUCCAUUAAUCCUAGGUGGUGCACCUGAAAUUUUAAGUAGUGAUAGACCUUAUGUUGAUUGUGUAGAGAUAAACAUUAGAUUACGUUAUUUCCCUCUCGCAGUCGAGAACAAGAGUCUCCCCUCCGUUUUUCAUAAAAAAGCUCCCCCCGCGCUCGCAAACGCUAGGCGCCCCGAUGACCGCACGCCGGCCUUCCGCCUGCCGCUGGAGCCUCUCCCACCGGUGACUCCUGUUGCCUGAGUCAUCGCCCAUCGCCGUGCCUCUGCACCUGCGACCCGCCGCUGCCACUCCGCCGGCCUCGCUCGCGUCUGCAGCUCCAUCGUCGCACCUCUGACGCUCGCUGUUGCUCCCCCCACGCUCGCGUUGCGCCUCUUCCACCUGCAUCGCGCCUGCGCCGCUUCGCCGGUCUCGCGACCCAACGCCGCUAGAACCCACACCGUCGUUGCUCGCCUCUCCUCAGUGCUCGACAGCCAGCUUCGCGCCCACGCUACCGCUGCCCGCUUUACCUACAUCUGCACCAGCACCCGACUUCCCGCACCAAAGCUCCAAACCGGUUGCCAAACUCUGUCUUGGAAGAACCCCGAACCCCGAAGCUUGGCCCUGGUAUGUCCACUCUUUUCGGACCAAUUAUGGAUGAAUUCAAUUAGGGUUUUUCUCCCGUUUAGGUUCUGGAUUUCGAAUUGCUGUUGUGAUGGCCUCGGCUUUUGGCCAGGCCUCUCGUGUUGAUGAAGGGCUGAGUUCUCUCACCCAUGUCCCUCAAGUUGUAGGACGACCUUUUCUUGAUGGGCCCUCGUGCAAGGAUAAGGGGCGAAGCCUCUCGUUUUCCCCUGAUCCGAGACAGACGGAUAUUCCCAUCCCUGUUCGUUACCAUGCUGGUGUUCGCACGAAAAGCAGAGGUAGAUCCAGAUCGAACCAGCCUCAGCCUACGGGCAAGGCAAAUCCAUCUAGCCGUUCUUGGGCGUCUGUUGCUCAAGUGUUGAGGAAAGGCUACGAUUUAGAAUUCACCCCUCCUGCAUUUUUGGAUGAUAAACCGAUGGUUGAGCUGUCAGACCUUGACCUUCAAGGUCUCCAUGAUUGUUUGAUUGGCUAUUAUCUAGGUAGGAGAAUUCCGUUUAAAGUCAUUGAGGAAGCUCUUAAAAGGGCGUGGAGCCCGUACCUCACCGAAGUCAUGGCAGAUGAACAAGGUUUCUUCGUGCUACAUAUUCCUGAUAUGGAUUUUAUGAGGAAGCUCCUCGAAGGUGGCCCAAUUACAGUUGCGAAGGUUCCAUUUAUUCUGCAACAAUGGAAGCCUGGUCUUGAACUCGAGAAAGACACCCAUUUAACUGUUCCCGUGUGGGUCAAGUUGAGAAACCUUCCUUUCUCCUUUUGGUCAGCCCAGGCUAUUGGCAAAGUUGCGAGUGCGGUUGGCAAGCCUUUGUAUGUGGAUCAUCGUACUGAGCAAAUGGAUAUGUUAGCUUUUGCUCGUGUGUGUGUGUGUUGAAAUUACUGCAGACCAGCCCUCUCGUGAUUCUAUAUUGCUGGUUCAUAAUGGAAAUUUCCGUAUUGUUGCUGUGGAAUAUGAGUGGCGUCCACAAGUUUGUUUCAAGUGCGGCAUCUUUGGCUACAACUGCAUUCCCCCAGCCCCUCUCCAAGCAUCUAAUUUGAGGAGACCUGCAGCCAAGGCUCCUGUAUCAGUUGUUCCUGCUCCUGUUCAGCUCCCCUAGGACAGGCCUGCUUCCCCUGUUUCCCUUGCUUCCCCUAUUUUGGUGGCUGCUCAUGCCCCGCAUCAGCAAGAUUCGGAAAGAGUUUAGCAGCCUUUCGAUGCUUUGGAAGCCGGUGGGGAACUUGUUGCUCCUCAUGCAGAAGCCGCUGCUUUUUCCCAAGUGUCGUCUUCGGUUGCUCUGCCUAUACCUACAAGAAACGAUGCUGAUUCCUCUGAUUUAGUCACAGUGCGUGAAGUCGCGCCUGCCCUCGCUUCUUCCCCUCCACUUAUUCCUCCCGCGGGUGAGGAAUGGCAUGAAGUGGUAGGUAAAAAGAAAAAGAAAAAGCUUCCCUUUUCUAAGAAGGCGGCAUCUAUCAGUGUGGCAGGCGCUACCAGAGGUGGACAACAGUUGAAUCUGAAGACCGCUUCCACUAAACUGGUUAAACCACCUGUGCUCCCUCCUGUUAGGAUUUCUAAGGGACUUUUGAAAGCACCUGUUAAGGUACAUGAUAAUACUGCCAAGACCUUGGAUCGCACCUCCCGCUCGGGACAUUCUAUUGGCUCGGAUGAGAUUGCUAGUUCUAGUAUUCAUACUAUCUCGGAGGAUGAUGAUCUACUAUCCAUCAGUUCCUCACCUCGGGGGACGAUGUCUUGUGCAAAGCCAGACUAUUCAAGACCAGUUGGAUCGUCUACUUCCUGAACUUCCUGCUUCGGUUCUUGCUAAGGCCACCUCUACUGGCCGCAAAGCCUCUAUGAAGAGGUAACUGCCUCCCUUCUUUGUGUACAUAUGUUUUUUGGAUUCUGGAAUGUUAGAGGUAUCCUCAAUCCUGUUAGGUGUGCUGAGGUAAGGAAGCUUGUUCUCUCCAACAAGCUUUGCUUGAUCGGUAUUUUUGAGACUAAGGUGCCCGAAGAAUUGUUUGAUACCAUAUCUUCGACCUUUUUAAGAGGCUGGAAAUGGACGACGAACUAUGAAUACGCUCCUCGUGGUAGAACUUGGGUUGGCUGGGACCCAAGUAUAGUUGAGUUUGCUCCUAUUUCUUCGAAUAAGCAAGAUGUUCAUGGUUUUCUUUCUUCUACUUCUUCUAACAUGAGUUGUUGUAUUUCUGCGAUCUAUGCUGAUCACACGUUUGUCAGUCGUAGGCCCCUUUGGGAUGAUCUAAUCCAUUACAAUGAAGUCUUCCAAGACUCGCCUUGGAUUGUAGCAGGUGACUUUAACGCCAUUAAGGACCCAUCGGAUAGGAUGGGGGGUUCGAACGCUUGGAUUCCAUCUUUUGACGAGUUUCGUUUAUGUUUAGCUCAAACCGAGUUGGUGGACCUUCGAUACAUUGGCCUCCGUUUUACCUGGUCUACUUCCUCUGGUGCUGUAAGGAAAAUGCGCAAGAUUGAUCGAGUCCUUAUUAACAAUCUGUGGAACCAUCGAUUCUCCUUCUCUCAAGCCUCCUUUCUCAAUCCGGGUACAUCUGAUCAGUCUCCUAUGAUUGUUAGAGUGCUUGAUCCGGUGUCGAGAAGGAAGCUGUUUAAAUGUUUUCAUUUUUGGUCCGAACACCCAGAUUACUCGUAUUGCAUCAAUCAAGCUUGGAAUUCGCCAGUCUUCGGAGUGCCGAUGUUCCGCCUCGUGUCCAAGCUGAAAUUGGUUAAAGCUCGCCUCAUAUUACUCAACAAAGAGUCUUUCUCCGACAUUUCGAUGAAGACGGCUGAAGCUAGAGAAGCCCUUUGCAUCACUCAGGUUGGGCUUCAUGAUGAUCCUUCUAAUUCAUCUCUUGCUGACCUGGAAAAAAACCAGCGACGUGCCUUUGUCCAAUUGCGGAUCCUUGAGGAGUCUUUUUACCGCCAAAAGUCUCGUGUGACUUGGUUGAAAGAGGGUGAUCGGAACACUAGAUUCUUCCACCAUUCGGUUAAGAACAGACAGGCCAGAAACCACAUCCUCUCGGUUAUAGAUUCAUCCGGUGUCCUCAUAGAUGAUCCAGCCCUUGUGCCUCAAGUGUUUGUGUCCUACUUCUCAAAGUUGCUCUCACCUCAGGUGUGCCUCUCAAAACCGUCUCUUCAUGAGAUGAAGGAGCUCAUCCAUCGGCAUCUCUCGGAUAUUCAAUGUAGCUCCAUCUCUUGCCCGGUCACAGAUUCGGAGAUCAAGGAUACUCUUUUCUCCCUAGUAAGAGGAAAAGCCCCGGGUCUUGAUAGCUUUUUGGUUGAAUUUUACAAGACCAACUGGGAUCUUGUCGGGCCAUUGGUUAUUGAAGCUGUUCAGGAUUUCUUUGCUUCGGGCUUCCUCCUAAAAGAGGUAAACAGUACUAUCCUUACGUUGAUUCCCAAAGUUUAGAAUGCUACUGCAGUCACAGAUUUUAGACCUAUCGCAUGUAGUAAUACCAUCUACAAGGUUAUUACAAAAAUUCUAGCUAAUUGUGUGGCUGCUGUUUUCAAUGUUUUGGUUGGAUCAUCUCAAAAUGCAUUUGUUAAAUGAAGGAGAAUUAGAGAUAACAUUUUUCUUGUUCAGGAUCUCUGGUUUUCACUUAGAUCCUUACCUUCCGAAAUGUGCUGUUAAGGUGGACUUUCAAAAGGCGUAUGAUACUGUAGACUGGGAUUUUUUGGAACUCACUCUGCAAGCUUUCAGAUUCCCAGAAUGGAUCAUCCAUUUGAUAAUGGUGUGUGUGAGAACACCCAAGUUUUCAGUUUCUAUUAAUGGCGAACUUCAUGGCUUCUUCUCUGGAGGUCGAGGCCUUUGCCAAGGGGACCCUUUGUCGCCGUACCUCUUUACCCUUGUUAUGGAUGUGUUCUCAGGGAUUUUAAAUUCCCGUACUUCGGUGAAAGACUUCAAAUACUUUUGGAGAUGCAAGAAGGUAAAGCUAACCCAUCUUUUCUUUGCCGACGAUGUCUUUCUCUUUUGUCAAGCUAAUUGGGUUUUCGCCAGGAUCCUCAAGAGAAGUCUUGAUAUAUUAUCAUAUUGGAGUGGAUUGCUUCCGAACAAAAACAAGAGCGAGGUGUUUCUCUCAGGAGGCCCUGUUUCCAUCAGAGAGAAUAUUCGGCGUGCAUUUGGCUUUCAGGAAGGUUGACUCCCAGUCUGAUACUUAGGGGUGGGAAUAAGAACGCUUCAAGUGCCAAAAGUUGGCACAAAUGGACACUUAAGUGCCAAAAGUUACGAAAGGUACACUUAAGUGCCACAUUCGAAAAAAAACGGAUCACUUAAGUGCCACUCCGGCCAAAAUCCGGCCAAAAGGCUGACGUGGCAUUUUUCCGACGAAUUUCCGGCGAAAUGAACCCAAAACGACGCCGUUUUGCACGCUGACGUGGCAAAUAAUGCAAAAACGGCGUCGUUUUGGGCUGACGUGGUAAAAAAAUAAUAAAAAAAUUAAAUAAAUUAAAUUUAAAAUUAGAUUUAGUUAAAAUAUUAAAAAAUAAAAAUUUUAAAAUUAGAUUUAGUUAAAAUAUUUAAAAAAUAAUAAAUUUAAAAUUAAAUUUAGUUAAAAUAUUAAAAAAUAAUAAUUUUAAAAUUAAAAAAAUAUAAAAAUAAUUCAAAUAAUAAUUAAUUUAAAAUUACAUUUAGUUAAAAUAUUGAAAAAAUAAUAAUUUUAAAAUUAAAUUUAGUUAAAUAUUAAAAAAUAAUAAUUUUAAAAUUAAAAAAUUUAAAUAAUUAAAAAAAUAAUUUUCAAAUGAGAUUUAGUUAAAAAUUAAAAAAAAUUAAAAUUAAAAUUAGUUAAAAUUUUUAUAAAAUAAAAUUUUUAAAAAAUAAAAUUUAUAAAAAUAAAAAAAAAAUUUAAAAUUAUUUUUAGUUAAAAUAUUUUUAAAAAAUAAUUUUAAAAUUAAAUUUAGCUAAAAUAUUAAAAAAUAAUAAUUUUAAAAUUAAAAAAAUUUAAAAAAAGGGGGGGCGAUGGCUAAGGCUCCCUCAACCACCGGCCCCCCUUUUUAUUAAUUUUAUUAAUUUUAUUAAUUUUUUUUAAUUUUUUAAUUUUUAAGUUAUAAUUUUUUAAUAUUUUGCUAAAUUUAAUUUAAAAUUAUUAUUUUUUAAUAUUUUAACUAAAUCUAAUUUAAAAUUAUUAUUUUUUAUUUUUUAAAAAAUUUAUUUUAAAAUUUUUAAUUUUUAAUAUUUUAACUAAAUUAAAUUUUAAAUUAUUUUUUAAAAUUUUUAACUAAAUCUAAUUUUAAUUUUUUUUAAUUUUUUUAAUUUUUAAUUUUAAAAUUAUUAUUUUUUAAUAUUUUAACUAAAUUUAAUUUUAAAAUUAUUAUUUUUUCAAUAUUUUAACUAAAUAUAAUUUUAAAUUAAUUAUUUUUGAAUUAUUUUUAAAAUUUUUAAUUUUUAAGUAUCUUAACCAAAUUUAAUUUUAAAAUUAUUAUUUUAUAAAUAUUCUGACUAAAUCUAAUUUUAAAAUUAUCAUUUUUUAAUAUUUUAACUAAAUUUAAUUUUAAAUUUAAUUAAUUUAUUAUUUUUUUAUCCCAUGAGUCCAAAACGACGCCGUUUUUGCAUUAUUUGGCCAUGUCAGCAUGCAAAAGGGCGUCGUUUUUGGCUCGGUUCGCCGGAAAAAUGCAACGUCGGCAUUUUGGCCAGAUUUUGGCCGGAUUGGCACUCAAGUGAUCCAUUUUGCUCCGAUUUUGGCACUUAAGUGUACCUUUCGUAACUUUUGGCACUUAAGUGUCCCUUUGUGCCAACUUUUGGCACUCCAGGGGUCCUUGUCCCCUUAGGGGUGCCCAUCAUUACUUCAAGACUUGGGAAAGCUGAUUGUGCUUCGUUGAUUGAUUGUAUUACUGCAAGAAUUCAAUUGUGGGCUCACCACUUUUUAUCCUUUGCUGGCAGGCUUCAACUUAUAAAGUCGGUACUGCAUUCUAUCCAAGCCUUUUGGGCUAGUGUUUUUUCUCUGCCUAUCUCUGUUCUUGAUAGAAUUGAACAACUGCUAAGACAGUUUCUGUGGAAGGGCACCUCGCUUGGCCGAGCGGUGCCAAAGUAUCUUGGGAUGACAUUUGCCUCCCAAAAAAUGAAGGUGGCUUGGGUAUUCGGAAAUUGAGAGACUGCAAUACUGCUUCAUUGCUUAAGUACAUCUGGUUUCUCUUCACCGAUAGAGAAUCUCUCUAGUGUCGUUGGAUCCAUUCUUAUUUUUUAAAGGACAACUUUUGGAACUCCUCCACACCCACUACGUGUUCAUGGGCGUGGAAAAAAAUCCUUCAACUUCGAAGACACUUUAGGCUCUCUUUCUUUUGGAAGAUUGGCCACGGUUCCUCUGUUUCCUUAUGGCACGACAAUUGGCUGGAAUGUGGCUUGCUUCUCUUACUUAUACCGCUGGACCUUGUGGAGAGCUGUCGCCUUCCAAGCUAUUCUGUAGUGGCGGACCUUUAUUCUCCUGUGGGUGCUUCUUUGAGAGACCUCCUCGCAAAUAUAGGAAUUACUAUACCCAUUCUUUCUACUGAUUCUGACCGCUUCACCUGGCAAGAAGAUCCAUCAGGUUCGUUCUCUGUUGCCUCUGCCUGAAAGUACAUCAGGGUUAAAAAGAAUCGAGUGUCUUGGGCUCCUCUUAUUUGGGACAAUGACCUUGCACCCAGAUUUCAAUUUCAUUUGUGGUUGCUCGCAAAAAAUAGGCUGCCAACUUAGACUCUCCUUCUCUCUUAUGGGAGGAUUGAGUUCUCUGUUUGUGCUUUUUGCUGCUCCGUUCCGGACUCCGUGGGCCAUUCGUUCUUUGAGUGCACAACGUCUGCGACUCUUGCGUUCUUUUGGGCUUCUAGAUGUAAUUUACCUUGGAAGAACAGAGUUUGGAAGGACAACCUCUCUUGGGCUCUCAAAUUCCUAUUCGGUAAAGAUUUUUUUCACAGUAUUGUCCGUUUCUCUUUUGGGGCUUUAUGCCAUUUCAUAUGGAAAAAAAAGGAAUUCUAUCAUCUUUCGAGGUGACUCUUUGGCAAUUCUGGCCAUGAAGAAUCACUUGAUCAAGGUUGUGAAGGAUAAGGCUCUUUUGUUCUCUAAUGUCCCGCCUACUCCAAGAAACAAGCGACUCCAGAGAAGUUGGGGGUUCGAUCCGUCCAUCUUCAGCUCGACGUCCUCUUCCUAGCUCUCCUCCAUCUCUUCAAUCUUUGGAGGGGUGCCUGAGGGCCAUUAGUCUGUUUUUUAAUUGUAGUUCAGCCGAGUAGUUGCUGCUAUGUUUCUUUCUCUCUGUAUCUUUUUGAUUCGGCACCCUCACACUCUCCCUGCCCCCAUAGCUAAAGUGUGAGUUACGGUGCCGAAUUCUUGUUCAUUUAUCCAAAGUUUAAUAUAUAUUCUUACCUUUUACCAAAAAAAAAAAACAUUAGAUUACGUUGAGCUUAUUUUUCUAAAAUGACCUUAUCUUUCUUCUUGUUCGCGAGGAUAAAAAAGUAGUUUUUUGAAAUUUUUUUAUUCAAAAUCUAUUUACUGACCACUUUUAUUUUUGAGAGAAAAAAAAAUAUGACAUUAUCAAAUGGAUUUCUGUUAUGAAAAAUGAAAGAAGAAAAGGGGAACAAAAGAAUAGCAAAAUAGAAAAACAAAAUAGUUACCUAACAAGCCCUAAUUUACCAAAUCAAUUGGUCCAGUUUGUCAUAGAUCUCUAGUGCCUUUGGGUGUGAAAUGUCGCCUACAUAGGACUUGUGGACUAUAUUUUUCACUUGAAGCCAGCUAGAACCUGCCUUUUCAGUUUCAUAUUCUUUUUGAUUGCUGCUACAUCUUCCCAUAAGACCUUAUGGGGCACACAUAUCUGAUAGCAAAAUUUCAGCGACAGUCGUCUAGUUCCUGCUUAAAAAUCUUUUUGUUGCAGCUUGUUUUGCAAGCUCAACAAUGUCGGGAACUUAGCAGACUCAAAGAAUCGCACGCCAAACCAGUGUAUCAGCCUUGGAAGGCGUUGAAUCUAUAAGCUAUAAACUGAAGGGCUUCGAUAAUGAUCUAGAUCUACUUGGUAAGUCCACUAUGUGUGCAUGGUAUUCAAUUAUGGACCCUGAAACACGAUUGAAGGUGAAGAUGAUCACAUGGUGAUCGAAAGUGAUAAACAAUCGGCUAUCAUGGUGGUGGUCCUCAGGUGGUGGCCGAUGAAGCAAUAUCCGAAUGCAUCACCUAAUUAAUUUAUCAGGCAAAGACAGCAUGGUCUAUUAAAUUAUUUUUAAUUUUUUUAUCCAAUUUGAGUUUAUCCGAAAAAGUACGUUGCCAAACACCAAAUAUGAUAAGUUAUCAUUGUAUCCAUACAAGCUAACAAAUGUAGCCUAAAAAUAUUUCUUUCUUUGAUAUUCAAAUGCAAAAUUAUUUUCACGUCACUUCAUUAAAUUUACUCUAGAUUAGUCGUCAGUGAUUUUUAUUUAUUUAUAUGUAAACAUCCUAAAGAAAUAAGGGAGACUAGCUCAUAUAUAAAUCGAUUCUAAAGAAAGGUCAUUCAAAAUUAUUUUCACGUCAGUUCUAGACAUGUUUAGACCCUGGGAAGAAAGUCGCUUGACCAGUCAAGAACAAAUAUGGUCCGGAAAAGGAAAAGCGCCGUUGAUGCGUAAACGCACGCCAAGAAGCUUUGUUUGUGGGCGCAGAUGGCUCGCCGCAAAGUCCUGCCUUGGACCUGGUCCCUUCUGGACUCCAUCAAUCCUCGUGGACGAAGAAGCAGAAGAUUCAUUUCUCUCGUCUGUCUCGGCCCUAUAUAAAGUCUCCCCCACCUACCCUUCUGUCAUCGUCAAAGAAAGAAGAAGAAGAAGGGAUCGCGAGAGGGAAGAUUUCCAGUGAAUAAGCGAAGGUUUCUUUAGGAUUUUCAGAAUCUUUGCCUCGUCAUGACUCGAUCUCUCUCGAGCGCCAAGCUUCUCUCGGCUCUCGCCGCGGACGCAAUGUCCAGCGCCUUUGCCAGGUAAACCCCACGCUUCCCGUGCGUCCCUCUUCAUCUCCCGAAUAAACCCAUUCGAGUCAACUGACCCGGUACAAGCUUGAUGUGCUCGAAAUUACAGGCGUGGGUAUUCGGCAGCGACACAAGGCGCGACGGCCCAAAUGGCAAAGGCCGGUGGCGCCACGAGAAGCGGCGCUGCGGCCGAGGAGAAAACAGGGGAGGAGGAGAAGAUGGUGAGUUCAGAUGGGCAGGUCUCCUGGGCACCCGACCCGAGGACCGGGUGUUACAGACCCGACAACUGCAUCGAGGAGAUCGACGUGGCUGAGCUGCGAGCAAAGCACUUAUGGCAGAAGGAAUGAUUUUAACGAGUGGAGUUUGGCUGAUAUGCGCGAAUGAGGCUCUGUUAUCGUUUGGUUCGCACGAAGAACGAGUCCCAUUCGCCAGUUGUUUGCCCCAAAUUUUUGGUCGAUCCUUUCUAUGGUAAUACAGAACAUCGGACGUAUGCCGUGAUUCAAUCGAUUAAUGAUGAUAUAACCAUAAAUCCUCUGUUUCCGGGCUUCAAAUGCCGCUUCUCUGAAUACGCACCGUUAGCUCGUUUAGACACAGGGCAUAUCACAAAACCGAACAAGUUGUUGCGAUGAAAUUACAGAAGACUUCAACGACUACACGUGCAUUCAUGGCGUGCUUCCAGACUCAAACCACGAAGCACGAACUCACCUCCUACGAAGACGACGAAGAAGAAGAAGAAGAGGAAGCUUUAAACUCGCUCACCGUGGCAUUGCAGGCCAGCCCGCAUCCACACCAUGGGCACUCGGUGAAGUUCUCCACUGGGAAUCCCGCAGAUGCGACCCCGAUGGAGAACUCCAGAUUGCCCCCCUGCCGCACCACCUCCACGAUGCUCAGCCACACCACCGUCACCUUCACGCUGACGCCUUUCAGCCUCCUCAGCCUCUCCCUCUCGAUCACCCCCUCGAUGCUCUGCUCGGACUUGAGCUGGUACGAGUUCUCGAGCGUGAAGCUGCACGUCCCGUUCAUGCUCGCCGUGAACUCGCCGGUGGCCUCGUGCAACUGGUACCCCGUUAUGCCCUUCGGGAGGAGAGCCACCGGCAACCCGUACGACUGGAGCACCUGGUAUGCCGACGGCGACCGCUCCCUCCAGUGACCGGUGCCGAGAGGAUGGCAACCCAGAAAAAGAAGGCCGUCGCGUAGAGAGACUCGGUGGGAAACAUGGAUUCUGAUGGCCGAAGAUCGACGAUUCUUGGCUUGGAAAGAAUCGACGAGGAAGGCUUUUUUGGACGGGAACUGCGACGGAGAGAGCGUGGAGAUUCUCGUUUCAUUCACGUCACGGAUCAUACAAUUGUCAUGGACUGCAUUGUUGUCGACUCUGGACUGUUUUGGACAUAUGAUCUGGAGGCAGAGCAGUCGAGUCGCGGAUGCGUUUUUCGCAGAGGAGCACGCGGGCUCGUGACACGUCUGAGAUCGAUUUGACACCUGCGUGCGGCGAUUUUCCACCCCUUCUUGCCAGUUGCCGGAGGAAUGCAUGAACCCGACGGUUCAUGUCUUCUUCUUGAUCUUUAAGUAGAUAAAUAUCAUGCAUUAACACUCUUUACCAAAAAAAAAAAAUAUCAUGCAUUAACACUUGCCAUAUAACAGAGAUAUAAUUGGACCUUAGCAUGUUUUUAAAAGGCUAUGACAUCCAGGAAAGACUGGAUAGAGGCGGGGAACAGAUCUCGAAAAAUGUUCUAUCCCCAUGGCCCAACAUGGCCAAACCCCUUUAAGGGGUAAGGGUGGCCCGCCUAGAUUCCCACGACGCCUUCCCCCAAGUAUCUGGGGCAUGGUACAGAAAAAUGAAGGGUCUCUCCCGACAAGGGGUGGCUAUUAUAAUAGCGCCUCACAAUAUCCAAUAGAAAGCUCAAAAUGCAGACUUAAGUUCAAGGCUGGCCGACCGGCUUUGCUAGAUUGCUCGCAGCUCGAGGCCCAAUGAAAAAGCCCACCUAAUUCCCCCAUAUAUGGGACAUGGGAAUGGCCUUCCUAAGGGGUGAUGGCCAUAAAAAAGACAUGGAAAAAUUUCAAAUAAUGGUCGGACCUAAAUUUUCAAGAACGUCCUUUUAUCAUGUAAAGACCUAAAUGAGCAAUUUAGUCUCACAAUAUAACCCUACCAAAUCUUCGUCAGCCAACGAGCACGUGACAUUGUCCUCACAAGAGCAGCUUCCAAUUAAUUCAUUACAUGAGACGAUUCCAACGCCUCUCUGUUUUAACAAAAAUUUCAAUCCUGACUACUUGGAGCAUUGUCCUCGAGACCCUCCUUGAGUCCUGGACUCAAAUUGCUCCCGUGAAAGCUCUGUCAGAUUGAGGGGACGAGCAAGACGUUCCCGCGUCGACAUAAGCAUCAGCCUCUCGAUCAAAACACAUGCAGCAAUUCAUCAGCCCAGAAAUGCUCUACCUCAAUUAAUUUGGACAGAUGAGCAUGAUGCAUCGGUUUGCUUCCUGAAUAUUUUUUGGAAAGCUGCUCGUUGCCCCUAAUAUAUGAAGUCAAAUAUACAACACAGCUUGCCUUGAACCACAAAACAAGAAUCAUGGGACCAUCACGGCUUAGAAUAACACCACCUCCCUAUGUCAAAGCAACUUUAUGGGUGAAAAAAGACAACUUUAAGUAUCACAACUUUUUUUUCUGAUUAUUUUAGUGUCAUAACUUCUAAAAAGCAUUCAUUUGAGCCCGUAUGAUAGUCAUGGCAUUUGUGAUGUCCUUCAACUUAACUUAAUGUGAUUGGGGCGUGUUUUCACUGCAUUGAAGCAUGAAAAGGUGAAACCAUGCGAGUUCGUGUAUGGGAUCUAGGGAGUUUAAUUCUUGACCAGCUCUACUUAUGGGGUGUUCAGAAAUCGUUCCACUUCUCUUAUCCUUGUUACAAGAACGACAUAAUACAGGUGAGAAAUGUGUACAUAUAACUCUGAACCAGUAGCUAAAAUAAGCAACAUCUUAAACACCACAGCCCAUCCUCAGCAAACGUUCCAGUUAUUUUGUGGAGACGGAGAUGAAACGAUUCACCUCUCCUUCCUCAAAGAGAACUUUCGAAGGAGCAUAAAACUUAAAAUUUUUUGAUGAAGUCAUAUAUGUGAUUAGUAACUUCCUCUGGCUUUUCUUGCUGGAGAAAAUGAGCCACUCCUUCCAUCACGACUACUUCUUGCAAGAAUGGCACAAGUUUCUUGAGCCCACCAUUGUGAAUGUGCUGCUUAGCACCAGGUACAUGAUAGGUAAUGUCGAGGUCUCCAACAAUAAAUUUAACCGGCACUUUAAUUUGUACUCCAGUCCAUGGUGCGGCCAGCUUCCAGGUUCUGCAACAAGGAAGGAAUUAUCUCUUUGCUAGUUCCAAGCGAUUGACAUUUCACUAGGUCUAAACUCAAGUCCUACAGAAAAUCACGUAGGAUGAUGUAUCAAAACUCGUGAAAGAGCCUCCACAGAGAACAACUUUACAUCAGAUCCAAAUUACGCAAAAGAGAGGAUUGUGUUCAACGGUACAUGUCAGGACUGCUAAUGGACUUCAGCCCCACUACUAUAUCUUUCACUACUCAUCAGUCAAACCUUCUAGCCCAAGUUGGGAAGAUACUCACAGUUCUUUCAGAAUAUUGUGAAUAUCAAUCCGACAGACAACUGCCUCCAAUCCAAUAGAAUAGGGUGACACUUACAAGUUCAUCGCUCGAUAAUAAUUCAAUCCUCCGGUGAAGCCUUUCUGACUGAAUUUGCUGGCAUAAAAAUUGAUGUCUUCCUCUGACAGCCAAGGGGGCAAUUUAUCUCGAGAGCUGGCCAAACCUGAACAUCCUAUUUCUUUCGGAAUACAAGGUGGUUUUGGACUCCGGCAUGUGAGAAAUAGCUUCAUAAGUUUUGUGAUAUCAGCUCGUGCAAAGUCUUCUUCAGCUUCUCCAGGUUCCUAAGACAGAUCAUAAGUCCUUUCAGGAGCAAUAAAAAUAUAAUGAUCAAAUCAUAUAAGGGAGGAAUUAAGGAACCACCUGAAAGGAUAAAAGUGGCACUUGAGCAAUAAAAAGGUAAAAUGUAAAAUCUAAUUGAAUCAACAAUUACAGUGUUCAGUGUUCAGUUAGAACAUGAAUAUGAUACUUGCAAAACAUGCUCAACAUGUGUACUUGUAUUGUAGUGGAGGCCCUUCUCGCCGCAGAAGAUCUGGGAAGGAUCUUAUCGAGAAUAAUAUUCCAUGUCCUCUCUCUGCACUAAGCGAAGUUUCCAAGGAGCACUAAACAACAUGUGCAGUUUUAGAACACAGAUCCUUGCAAUGCAGAAAAAUCUAGUAAGUUACCAUGGAUAGGAGCCCUACGGCCAUCGAACUUUGUCUACCAGAGGACUUUCUUCUAGCCUUCUAUAUAAAACACAGCUUACUAAUAGCGAAAAACAGAAGUCAACAUCACUUGCUCUGGUUCUACAACUUGAAACUGGUUAAAAACAUCAAAUUUUAGGUGGUCCACAUGUUAAUGGCCAGAGUGCUCAUCUGGGGGCAAGCGAAGUCCAACACUUUAAUAAUGGGGAGAUCCAAGAGGGUCGAAAGCUUAAACUGGGUGCAUUAUAUUGCUCCUUUUUCACUCUAGGCAUCUUGUGCGAAACUGUUCUCUGCAUUCACAUCUCACACGUGCACUUAACACAUAUAAACACAGUUGGUUGUGAUGAUAGAAGGGGAACUCUCUCGUGUCUGAUUCAUGGGCAGCACAUUAAAUUCAAAGCAUCCCAACUAGAAACAAGAAGUGAAGUCAAACCAACAAAGCAGUAAGAGAUGAGAUCAAAGCAUCAUAGCAGUUUUAGCCAUCAUUACGAAGGACCCGCUUGCUAUUCGUAGAAACACCAAAACGAAAGGUCUUCUUGUAGGAUACAAUUAUCCGCCUAUAAAUCUACUCAAAUGGUGCAACAACAAACUCAAGGUGACCCAAUUUGAGAGCCAAUUCUGUUCUCCAGACAACUUUUUUAAACGGAAAAGUUGUUUUAUUUUUUCAGAUUUAUUAGAAGCCACAAAAACUAGAGCCAUUAACUCCAUCACUAUCAAGUCAUUGUUGGUAAUUAAAGGUGGCAAAAUAGGUUUUAGACCCAUAUAUGACCCAUUUAAAUCAUUAGUAGGUCAUAUAUGAGUCACUUAUUUUUUGAAGAAACUAAUUAGAUUGGUUUAAUAAUUGAAGAUUUAAGAUAGAUGGAUCUUAAGUAGGUCUUAAAUGGGAUGGACUUAAACCAUUUUCAUCUAAAGCCUUACAAUCUCUCUUUUCUCUCUUUAACUUUACAAAAAUAUUUUUUGUAAAAAAAAAGAAAUUAUUUUUUAUAUUUCAAUUAUUUUUUUCUUUUUUUUUUCAUUUUUUUUUUCCUUCUUCCGUGUUCUUUAGUCGGUGGCCGGCAUGGCAAUGAUCGAUGACCGGCCAGGCAAGGCUUAAGCCUCGUCGAUUUGGCAAGACUCAAGCUCGCCAGCAGCAGACCGAAGAAGAAGAAGAAAUGCAAAAAAGAAAAAAAUAAAAAGAAAAUUAAAAAAUUAUAUUCUUAAAAAAAUAAAAAUAAAGAUAAUUAAAAAUUCAAUUUUUUAAAAUGAAAAUAAUUAAAAUUCAAUUUAAAGAAAAUAAAUUAUCGAUUAAAUUUUAACAAUAUCAUUUUUUUAAAUCAUAAAAAGUCGAAAAUUUUGCAUUACAAUAAAUGAGUUAUAAACAUGUUGAAUCAUUUAUGAUCCGAUCUACCCGUUUAACAAGUCUAUUGGAAACCAAAGAUAGUCAGCUCCAUUGAUUCACAGCCUCAAUUUAGGCAAAAAAAACUCGCUAAAACAUCCCAAAACCAACAAAAAUCUUCACAUAAACACGGUCAAUCAAGUCAACGUAACCGAACCAAUCCACGAUCACAUCUCUAAUUAUCACUCACCUGAAACCGACAGAUGUAGUAAUCAUCGCCAAACAACGCCCUCAGCGAAUCGACGGGCUUCCUCUUCCGACUCCCCGGCAGAAACGCGACGCUCGUGUUCACCAGCGCCUUAACCCUAUCGGGCCUCAGCAGGCAAAAGUACCACGCCAUGACCGCUCCCCAAUCGUGCCCCACCAGGAACACGCGCUCGACGCCGAGCGCGUCGAGGAGCCCGACCAGGUCGCCCACGAUGUGGAACGCCGUGUACGACGCCGCGGAGGGUGGCGCGUCGGUGUCGCCGUAGCCGCGAAGGUCGGGGGCGACGGCCCGGUACCCGAGGGCGGCGAGGGACAGCAUCUGGCGGCGCCAGGUGUACCAGAGGUCGGGGAAGCCGUGGAGGAAGAGGACCGUGUCGCCGCCGGCGCCGC
rnacentral:lncRNA from 1 species